rnacentral:lncRNA from 1 species
AUUGGUGAACUCGCUAGUGCAGUUAUGCUGUUGUGCUUUAAUGCUGUUUAUGAAAUUCUCAUAGUAAAUUAUUAAUAUUUUUCAAGUGCCUGAGGUACCAAAGAAAGUGGUCCAAGAAGAGGUUUCAGUUGAAGUACCUAAGAAACCAGAGCCUCCACCAGCUAAAGGUAACUGCUGUACACGAUGAACUAAAGAAAAACCCUUUGUUGUCUAGAGCGUGAUUUUAGUAAAUUUAUUUUCUUUAAUUAUAAAUAUUCAGUAUUUUUUGUUCAUUAAGUUGUAGUUUUUAUAUGUGAGAGACAGAGAAGCAUAGAAGUUAACCGUUUUGUAAAAAACAAAAAAAACAUUGCCUCAGAGAAAAUUUUCUAUAGCCAAAGAAAAAAAAAAAUUGAUGCUCAUAACCAAAACCACUGUUGUUUUUAAUGUCCACAAGUUUUAUUUUUUGUCAUGUCCAAGGUGCUAAGGAUACUGUUUAAAUUUCUUACAAAUAACAUAAAUUACUUUCUUUUAAGUGCCUGAGGUACCCAAGAAAGUGGUUCCAGAAGAAAAAGUACAUGUUGAAGUUCCUAAAAAACCAGAACCUCCGCCUCCUAAAGAACCUGAGGUGCCCAAGAAGAUUGUUCCAGAGAAGAAAUUACCGGAACCUGUGGCUGUACCUGAAAAACCAGAGCCUCUACCAGAGAAAGGUAAGUCUCAAAGUUAGUAGAACAAUAAAAGCAGUAUUUUUCCCCUUUUCUUUAACACUGUAAUUUUCAGGCCUUCUGAUUCUGAGAUUUCAAAUUGUAUUUGUUCUAUGUAUCUGGAUAUGUUUGUGAAAUAUGCAUAGGUGGAUCGUUUAGAAGAAUAGUGACAAAUUUUGGAUGUGUGAAUUACUUGUCUUCUUUACUCAAAAUCUUCUUACUAUUUUGGAUUAUUCUUACUGUUCUACUCACUACCUGCUUUGGUUAAUAAAAACAGCGAUAACUAAUAUCUUUAAAGUGGUAGCAGCAGAAGAAAAGUAUCCAUU